rnacentral:rRNA from 1 species
UGAGGAAUAUUGGUCAAUGGGCGGGAGCCUGAACCAGCCAAGCCGCGUGAGGGAAGAAGGCCCUAUGGGUCGUAAACCUCUUUUGUCAGGGAACAAAAGCGAGUAUGUAUACUGGUCUGAGUGUACCUGAAGAAAAAGCAUCGGCUAACUCCGUGCCAGCAGCCGCGGUAAUACGGAGGAUGCGAGCGUUAUCCGGAUUUAUUGGGUUUAAAGGGUGCGUAGGCGGCGGUGCAAGUCAGCGGUAAAAGCCCGGGGGCUCAACCCCGGCGAGCCGUUGAAACUGCAGUGCUAGAGAAGGCGAGAGGUACGCGGAAUGCGCAGUGUAGCGGUGAAAUGCUUAGAUAUUGCGCAGAACUCCGAUUGCGAAGGCAGCGUACUGGCGCCUGACUGACGCUGAGGCACGAAAGCGUGGGGGAUCGAACAGGGGAUUUAGAUACC